UGUACAUCUGAGGAAGGGUGAUCAGUUAAGAGUUUCAAGCAAUGCAAGUGCAGAAGAUGCCCCUGUGGACGGAAUACUCAAGUGCGUUCCAGAGAGACUUCGUGUUGAUGUAAAGCAGCAGUGACUUAGAAAGGCUGAGAACGCAGACCCUGACGACCUGGAGAGGCUGUGCUUAGCAUGGGAAUCACAGAGAGUCACUUGCUUUCUAGCGAUGCUUGCGGUUUCUUGCUGAAAUCUAGACACGACAACUUCAGUGAAAGAAACGUCUAACUGGGCCUUUUGUGUGAAGGUUUGUUUGGCUGGCUCUACUUCAGGCUCUCAGUGUACUGUUUGCUGUCAUGAUUUAUCUUAAAGGUGUCCAGGAGGCCAGAAAACUACAUUGGAUCUCUCAAAGCUGGGUUUCCAGGCACUUGUGAGCUGCCUGAUGUAAGUGCUGGGAACUGAACUCAGGUCCUCUGCUAGAGCAGCCCUCCGCUUGCUCACAGAUGCUGGGGCCUCUCUCCAGUCCCCUCCUGUUCCUCCAUCUGAGGCAGAAGCACAUAACAAUGGCAACUAGAGAGCGAGUGAACAGAACAUGAGAGCACAGGCACUAAGAACAGCAAUCAAUAAAUGGGACCCAGGAAACUGAAAACCUUCUGCAAAGCAAAGGACACCGUCAAUAGGACAAAACAGAGGCCCAAGAAUGGGAAAAGGUGUUCACCAACUCCACAGCUGACAGAGGGCUAGUAUGAGAAAUAUAUAAAUAACUCAAGGAUCUAGACAUCAGCAAACUAAAUAAUCCAGAGGUACCGGUUUAAACUGAGAGUUUUCGUCAGGGAAAUGCAAAUCAAAAAUGACUUGAGAUUCCGUCUUAUAUCAGUGCUAUGGCUAAGACCUAAAACACAAGGGACAGCUCUUGCUGGCGAGGACAUGGAGCAAGAACACUCCUCCAUUGCUGGCGGGAGUACAAAUGUGUACAUCUCCUUCAGAUAUCAAUAUGGCGGCUCCUCAGAAGAUUGGAAAUGGAGUUGCCUCAAGACCUAGCUAUACCACUCCAGGGCAUAUACCCAAAAGAUGUUUCAUCCUUUCGCAGGGACACUUGCUCAACUCUGUUCAUAGCAGCUUUAUUCAUAAUAGCCAGAAAUAACCUAGAUGGCCCUUAACCAAAAAAAAAAAAUAGAUAAGGAAAAUGUGGUACAUUUACACAAUGGAGUGUUACUCGGCUGUUAAAAACAAUGACAACACGAAAUUUUCAAGCAAGAUGGAUGGAACUAGAAAACAAUCAUGCCAAGUGAAGCAACACAGACCGAGAAAGACACACAUGAUAUGUCCUCACUUCUGAGUGAAUAUUAGCCGUCAUCAGUCCAGGGGCCUAGAGAAGCUAAGUAACAAGGAGGGCUUAAAGGGGGUGCAAAGAUCUCCCUAGGAAGGGGAAAUAGAAUAGAUUUUCUGGAUGAACUAGGGGCAGAUGGGGAUGGGAAUAGGAGAGGAGGGUGCGGGGAGAGAAGGAGAAAACACUGGGAGAAAGUACUGGAGUUGGGGGACAUAUGGGGGUGAGGUAGAAACCUAGUGAGUGCAGUGGAAACUCCAUGAAACCUUACAAGAAUAACCUUAGCAAGGACUCCUAGUAAUGGGGGACAUGGAGCUUGAACUGGGCACCUGGCCAUCUUCUGUAACCAGGCAAAGCCACAAGUAGAAGGAUUGGGACACCAAUCUAGCUGCAAAACCUUCCACCUACAGUUUGUCCUGCCUGCAGAGUGUGCUGGCAUAGGAGUCUAGCAGAACUGUCAUUAAAGAGACCACAACUGAUGGUAACAGACGCAGAGCCCCCCAGCCAAACAUUAGGUGGAUCUCAGGGAGUCCUGCAGAGAGAGGUCGGAAGGAUCAAAGGAACUAGAGGGAUCAGAAACACACCAUGAGAACAGAGUGAACUGACCAGGACUGUGGGGACUCACAGAGAUCAGGGAGCCAGUAGGAGUCUGAUCUAGGUCCUCUGCAAAUAUGUUAUGGGUGAGUAGCUUGAUGUUCUUGUGGGAAUUUUAACAGUGGGAGCAGGGGCUGUCCCUGACUCCUUUGCCUACCUGUGGGGCCCUUUCUUCUUACUGGGUUGCCUUGUCCAGCCUUGAUGUGAUGCUAUGUGCCUGGUCUUAUUGUAACUUGUUUGGUUGAUGUCUCUGAGAGACCUGCUCUUUUCUGAGGGGAGACACAGCAGAGAUGGAUCUGGG
ensembl:lncRNA